rnacentral:rRNA from 1 species
GAUGAACGCUGGCGGCGUGCCUAAUACAUGCAAGUCGAGCGAACGGACGAGAAGCUUGCUUCUCUGAUGUUAGCGGCGGACGGGUGAGUAACACGUGGAUAACCUACCUAUAAGACUGGGAUAACUUCGGGAAACCGGAGCUAAUACCGGAUGAUAUUUUGAACCGCAUGGUUCAAAAGUGAAAGACGGUCUUGCUGUCACUUAUAGAUGGAUCCGCGCUGCAUUAGCUAGUUGGUAAGGUAACGGCUUACCAAGGCAACGAUGCAUAGCCGACCUGAGAGGGUGAUCGGCCACACUGGAACUGAGACACGGUCCAGACUCCUACGGGAGGCAGCAGUAGGGAAUCGUCCGCAAUGGGCGGAAGCCUGACGGAGCAACGCCGCGUGAGUGAUGAAGGUCUUCGGAUCGUAAAACUCUGUUAUUAGGGAAGAACAUAUGUGGAAGUAACUGUGCACAUCUUGACGGUACCUAAUCAGAAAGCCACGGCUAACUACGUG